CAAGUCAAGAUUAUACUAUAAUAAUAUUUUCACGAUUAAGAAAUAAUUUUACUGUUCGAUUUCUAAGGUGCGAUAUAGUGUGGUCGUUGCCUUACAACCCAUGUUCAUGUUUCAGUUGCUGAAAUGCCUGUUUAUAGCUUAUUUGGAAUAAUUGCUGCUCUACUAUCUGGGGCUGGAUGCAUCGUACAUGUUAUUGGUUUAUCUGUUGUCUACUGGAUUGUGUCUGACCCAUAUGUCUCUGGAUGGGGAAUCGGGUUGUGGCAGAGUUGUAACUUUUAUGAAUGUAAUCACCACACCACCUCCUUUGUCUGUGCACUAGAAUAUUGGAAAGCAGCGCAAGCUAUGGUUAUGAUUGGUUUCUUUGUUGGAUUAGCUGGCUUCAUCUUUACUAUAAUCAGUGUGCAACAAAGGAAUAGAAUAUUGCAUCUUGUUUCAGCCAUUUCAUGCAUACUUGCAGCCGUGAGUAUCCUGUUGGCUGUGAUUGUAUUUGGAGCUAAAACUAAGCUGAAAGCAAAUACCCAGUGGGGCUGGGGCUUUAUCUUAUGUGCCAUUAGUCCCUUUAUCUUUUUCCCUGCUGGUGUUCUUAAUUUCUGGUUAUACAGAGGGACAGGUUCCGUGUAAAGAUUUUAGGAAAAUAUGGCUCCAUUAGAAGUUUUUUUCUCCAUUUUUUAUAACUUUUUAUUGUCCCCCGCCUUUCGAAGAAAGCAGGGGACUAUUAAAAUGGGUUCGUCCGUCUGUCCGUCUGUCCGUCCGUCCGUCCGUCCGUCUGUCUGUCCGUCCGUCUGUCUGUCCGUCACACUUUUUGGGACACAAUAACUCUCUUCCUAAUUGAGCUAGAAUGUUCAAACUUGGUGUAUGUGUUUAUUAGGUCAAUGCCUUGAUGGAGUUCGAAGAUGAGCAUUUUCCGCUUAGGGUAAGCAGAGAUAAGCAAUUUGAUUGGUUGAUGCUUUGGGACACGAUAACUCUCUUCCUAAUUGGGCUAGAAUGUUCAAACUUGGUGUAUGUGUUGAUUAGGUCAAUGCCUUGAUGGAGUUCGAAGAUGAGCAUUUUCCGCUUAGGGUAAGCAGAGAUAAGCAAUUUGAUUGGUUGAUGCUUUGGGACACGAUAACUUUUAAUUGAGCUAGAAUGUUCAAACUUGGUGUAUGUGUUUAUUAGGUCAAUGCCUUGAUGGAGUUCGAAGAUGAGCAUUUUCCGCUUAGGGUAAGCAGAGAUAAGCAAUUUGAUUGGUUGAUACUUUGGGGCACGAUAACUCUCUUCCUAAUUGAGCUAGAAUGUUCAAACUUGGUGUAUGUGUUGAUUAGGUCAAUGCCUUGAUGGAGUUCGAAGAUGAGCAUUUUCCGCUUAGGGUAAGCAGAGAUAAGCAAUUUGAUUGGUUGAUGCUUUGGGACACGAUAACUUUAGUUCUAAUUAAGUGAGAUUGAUGAAACUUGGUGUAUAGAUUUAUUAUAUGAAUACCUUAACUAAGUUCGAUAAUGAACAUUUUUUGCUGAGGGUAAGCAGAGUGAUAAGCAAUUUGAUUGGUAGAAACUUUGGAACACAAUAACUCUCCUUCUAAUUGAGGUAGAAUGUUCAAACUUGGCAUAGGUGUCUAUUAGGUGAAUGUUUAAACUUGAUGUAUAUGUAGAUGUUCAUUAGGUGAAUGUCUUGACUGAGUUCAAUAAUUAACAUUUCGAGCUGAAGCUAAGCAGAGCUAAUCGAUUUCAUUUGUCGAUGGUUUGGGACAAGAUAAUCUUGAUUCUAUCUGAUAGAGAGUGAUGAAACUUAGUGAAAAAAAUAAAUGUGCGAUUAAUUAAUAUGUGUCAUCUAUUUAUUUUGCAAUUUCGGCGGGGGACAUCAGCCUCACUGUUGGCUUGUUAUUGUCAGUGGAGAGGCACAAGAAUUAAAGAAAAUACGGCUUCAUUAGAAAAUGAGUUCUUAUCUCCAAUUUUUUAUAACUUUUUAUUAUUGUCAGUGAAGAGGCACAAGAAUUAAAGAAAAUACGGCUUCAUUAGAAAAUGAGUUCUUAUCUCCAAUUUUUUUUAUAACUUUUUAUUAUUGUCAGCUCUGCUGAGAGGGGACUUUCAGUGCACGUUUUUAUAUUGUUAGUCUUACUAUUAUUAAUUAAUGUGCUCUUAGCUUUCAAAAAUGUUCACGUUUAAAUAAAAUGAUCGAAUUUGAACUUGAUUAGUAUAAAUGGUUAAAAGUUGCACAUUAAUUACUUUAGAUGCAUACUCAUUUGGGGUAACACAUUCCUUGGAAAUACGUUUCGCUAGAAUCUGAGCAUACAUCGAUAACGUGGGCUGUAAAAUUAAAAGCGCCUUUUCAACAGAUAUACUAAUUAUUCAAACGACGAUCAGCUAUUUAAUGUUAUCCACUACCUAAUCGUAUAAUUGUCUUUGGAGUUGUCAAAUAUCAGACGUUCAUGGAUUUUUUCAAAAUUACCAACUAAUGGCUACAUUAGAUUUAGAACUUCUACGUCCAUUACAUUUGAAAGUCGUGAAAUCACAAGCUCCAUUUUAUUUACAAGUUGAGAAAAAUAACUAAAGUAAAACAAUAUCAAAAAGUUCAAUUCGCCAUAUCAUAUAGUUCUAAUGUAUAAGAGGGUGUGUCCCUUGUAAUUUUCAAAGAUCUCAACAACAGCUGUUAUUAAAUAUAUGAUAUGUCUACAUUCACAUAUAUCUAACUGCUUUCUAAACUUAAGUAUUGAUUUUGUAAUUAUGUAUGUAUGUCCUAAAUAAAGUGAUUAAAUAGUU